GUCGUGUCCCACUCUUAGUGACCCCAUGGACUACAGCCUACCAGGCUCCUCCAUCCAUGGGAUUUUCCAGGCAAGAGUACUGGAGUGGGGUGCCAUUGCCUUCUCCAUUUAUGGCUGCAGAGCAAAUCAAUGUACGUGUCCACGCUCACAAACUAGUACUUGAACUUGGAUUUAAAUGGGGAGCUGAGUGGUGGAGCAGUAGAGUGACAGAGGGCAGUAGUUUCUUGUGUUUUCUCGGUGAUUCUGGCCCACACGGCUGCUUCUGUGAUCAAAAUGUUCCAUUCUGGCCUCCAGGCAAUCCGAAGUGACUGGGAAAGGUAAGUUCUCCACUUGGACUGAUUUAAACAAUGAAACAAGUAUUUCGCCUGCCUUCUGUUGAGGCAAAAGCUAAGAACCUCCCCCAAAGAAAAAAGGGACAGGUUUUGUCCAAGUUGUACAUUUUGAGCCGCAUGGAAAAUGGAGCAAGGGGUUGGUGAAUGCGGCCCCAGAAAUGGAGAAGUGUGUGCAUGAGGAAAAAUGUCAGGAGCUCAGAGGGAAAAGACCUGGAUUUGAAUCAACCCUGGUCUGUGACUUCCCAAUUGGGUGACCUUAGCAAAUUCUUUAAUCUCUCUGAACUGUUGGUUCUUCUGUCUCUCUCUCUCUUUAAAUAAUUUAUUUUGGCUGCACUGGGUCUUCAUUGCUACUCAGGCUUUUCUGUAGUUUCAGGGAGCAGAGACUACUCUCUAGUUGCAGGUGCUCAGGCUUCAUUGUUGCAGAACACAGGCUCUAGAGCAUUCGGGCUUCAGAAGUCGUAGCAUGUGUGCUUGUGGUUGAGGCGCUCUGGCUCAAUUGCCCCCGCAGUGGGAUCCUCCCGGACCAGGGAUUGAACCCAUGUCGCCUGCAUUUGCAGGCAGAUUCUUUACCACUAAGCCACCAGGAAAGCCCUGAACUGUAGGUUCUUGAUUUCCAAAAGACAACUAUUUUGAGGAUUGGGGAAAAGUGAUAGGUGAUAAGAAAUGCUUCCUGAAUCUCAGUUCUGUCUCAGCCUUUGCCCUGAAUACAGUGAGGGGAGGAGAAGGAAUUCCUGAGUAAAUUGUGCUCUGCAAGCUUUGUUAACACAGGCCCUUUGAAGAAGCCAUGUCUUUAAUGAUCCCUUAAGUGUUUACUUGACACAGUUCAUCCCAUUCACCUGUCAGUCCUUCCCCUUCCCAUCUUCACUGGGUUGGGGAGACUGUUUGCCAAGCCAGCUGAUCAAUUUCUCUAAGCAACAGAGGACAUUUCAAACCUUGUCUUCUGUCCUCAUUCCCAAGUCAGGACAGCACUUUCCGGUUCUUGGCAUCUUGUGUUUGGAUUUGGGACUGGGUUUCCUUUCUGGCCAGUGCUUAUUCCAUUCUGGGAGGUGAUGGGAGACCUCACGUUCUGUGUGUAUGGAAUGACCAAAAACAACAACAACAACAACAACAACAACUGAGAAAUCAACAGUUCUCUCCAUGGUGUGUGGUGCCAGCAGUAAAAAAUUCGCCUGCCAAUGCAGGAGCCGCAGGAGAUGUGGGUUCAAUCCCUAGGGCGGGAAGAUCCCCUGGAAUAGGAAAUGGCAACCCACUCUGAUAUUCUUGCUUGGAAAAUUCCAUGGACAGAGGAGCUGCAAGGAGGGCGGUACAGUCUACAGAGUCACAAAGAGUUGGACACCACUGAACAUGCGUGCCAUUGUGGAGAAACCAUGAAUAAGUAUUUUUGCCAACGUACUUUUUGUGAAAAAUUGUUUCAAGUACUAAAUCCUGUAUGCUCCUUCUCUGUAAUGCAAAAUACAAACAACAACAAAAUCAAA